rnacentral:rRNA from 11 species
GAUUGAGAACUAUUGCCCUAAAGGCACCAGAUCUCAUUUAAUAUUGGACUCUAACCAGGGCUAACUCUGGUUAGUAUUUGGAUGGGAGACUGUUAGCAAAUACAGAUAUUUGUAGGCU